rnacentral:rRNA from 1 species
CGCGUAGGUGGUUUGGUCAGUCAGAUGUGAAAGCCCUGGGCUUAACCUGGGAAUUGCAUUUGAUACUACCAGACUAGAGUAUGGUAGAGGGAAGUGGAAUUCCGGGUGUAGCGGUGAAAUGCGUAGAUAUCCGGAGGAACAUCAGUGGCGAAGGCGGCUUCCUGGACCAAUACUGACACUGAGGUGCGAAAGCGUGGGUAGCAAACA